rnacentral:rRNA from 1 species
UACGGAGGAUGCGAGCGUUAUCCGGAUUUAUUGGGUUUAAAGGGUGCGCGGGCGGCACGGCAAGCCGGCGGUCAAAUCGCGGGGCUCAACCCCGCCCAGCCGUCGGAACUGCCGGGCUAGAGUGGGCGAGAAGUGCGCGGAAUGCGUGGUGUAGCGGUGAAAUGCAUAGAUAUCACGCAGAACUCCGAUUGCGAAGGCAGCGCACCGGCGCCCUACUGACGCUCAGGCACGAAAGCGUGGGGAGCAAAUAGG